GAGUGCAGUAUUUCUUGCAUUUGACACCACUUCUGUAUCAUUUAUCUGCAGCGAAGCAAACGUGAAACACUUGAUUCAAAAUAUUUCAGAAAAAUCAACCAAGAUGGUAGAUCAAAAGUUCGCCUGUGUCACAUUAAUUUUAUUGGUUGUCGGUAGCUGUGUGAAUUCGCUGCCGAACGCGAGUGUGGAGACAACGAAAGGGCCGAUGUCCACCACUACCACCCCUGCACCAGUGGGCAAUGUCGUGGUGGUACCACCAAACUGCCCAAAAGGACAGGAGAUGUCUGCUGACGGGGUCUGUCGAGAAGUCUUUUGAACUCUAAAACCUGCAGGAAAUAUGCAAGAAACUCGGUACCCAUUCAUGUUCAAAUUCAGCUAUACGAACUUCGAGAUAAUUAAUGAGUAAUACUAAAACAAUGCAUUAUGUCAUUCCUCCACUUUUAUCGUACUAAUAAAUCAUAAG
rnacentral:lncRNA from 1 species